rnacentral:rRNA from 1 species
AUUGAACGCUGGCGGCAGGCUUAACACAUGCAAGUCGAGCGGGGGAAGGUAGCUUGCUACCGGACCUAGCGGCGGACGGGUGAGUAAUGCUUAGGAAUCUGCCUAUUAGUGGGGGACAACAUCUCGAAAGGGAUGCUAAUACCGCAUACGUCCUACGGGAGAAAGCAGGGGAUCUUCGGACCUUGCGCUAAUAGAUGAGCCUAAGUCGGAUUAGCUAGUUGGUGGGGUAAAGGCCUACCAAGGCGACGAGCUGUAGCGGGUCUGAGAGGAUGAUCCGCCACACUGGGACUGAGACACGGCCCAGACUCCUACGGGAGGUAGCAGUGGGGAAUAUUGGACAAUGGGGGGAACCCUGAUCCAGCCAUGCCGCGUGUGUGAAGAAGGCCUUAUGGUUGUAAAGCACUUUAAGCGAGGAGGAGGCUACUUUAGUUAAUACCUAGAGAUAGUGGACGUUACUCGCAGAAUAAGCACCGGCUAACUCUGUGCCAGCCGCCGCGAUAA